GCUUCUUCACAUAAUGUUUGUAAGUUUCCUGCAGAGUUGUCACUGCCGAGAAGGGAAAAGUAAGAGAGCCACUCAAGCAAAGCACACUCACAGGCCAUCUGUCGAUUAGUAGAGCUGCGCUUCACAAGCAAAGAGAGAUGAGAAAUGCUGUAUCAACAUCACAUUGUUCACAGUCUAAUACAAUUGAAUAUGCGAUGGCCAUCGAAUGGGCACAUCAAUAUGAUAAGUCAGAAGCAUGUUGGAAGUACAUAUGUGAGCAACAAAUGAAGGAGAUAGAUAAUGUGAAGAGGAAACUUAGAAGAGAAGAGACAGCAUAUUUUUUUGAAGCCUGAUAGUUUUUUUUAAAGAUAAAUAUGAAUUUACAAUAUUUGUUUUUCUCCCAUUGUAACCGAGAAUUUUGGCAGGGAAACAUGAUUUAGUUGUGUUUCCGUAGAUACAAGGAAACCACUCGUGUUUCAGCUGUUUGUACAUUUUUUUUUAUCAAUGUUAGUACAUUGCAUUCUGAACAACUUGAUGGCAAAUUAAUAUUGCAAUUUUUUUUUU